rnacentral:rRNA from 1 species
GCGGCGAACGGCUGCGUAACACGUUGGAACUUUCCCCAGACUCAGGGAUAAUUCUCCGAAAGGAGAACUAAUACCGGAUGGUCUCGUAAGAGUAAAGCUUUUGCGGUCUGGGAGAGGCCUGCGGCCUAUCAGGUAGUUGGUAAGGUAACGGCUUACCAAGCCUAUGACGGGUAGCUGAUCUGAGAGGAUGAUCAGCCAGAAUGGGACUGAGACACGGCCCAUACUCC